AUGCAACGUGCUCCCCGAGCAUAUGUGCUAACAGGACGUGCUAGUGAGAACGGAGAACCCGGUGCCCGUUCUGUUGGUUUCCGCUCUGAGCCUGUGUCCUGGUCUGCAGGAAGGCAAAGCAAUGCCUCAAGGGGUCAAAUGGCUUCGUUCCUAAAAGAUCUUAAAAGACCACCCCGAAUCUCGGGUGGCAGCUGUGGGACACGCUUCCACAUCUCACUUUCCAGCUUGGGCACCACAACCGCUGGGCAGACCCAGCAAAGCCCUGAAGUAUUCCCGACCGACCACCACCGGGUUAGAUCCCCUACACUGCCAGCCCCUGGGGAACCACCGGCAGGUGUACGGGAGGUGCAGCGGGGGGCCGCUGGGGGGCUCGGCCCGGUGCUGCCGGGGCACUUGGGGCAGGGCCGGGGGGCGCUGACAGGCCCAGGCCAGGGCCAGGGCCGAGGCCGGCCGCCCGCGCGCGGCCCCGGCGGGCAGAUGCGGUGGGCGGAGCCGUGCCCAUCCCCGCCCGGCCCCGCCUCCCCCCGGAGCCAGCCAGUCCCUCUGCGGAGAGCUGCCGCCGCCCCCAUUGGCUCGCCGCGGCCGGUACAUUUGCAUACGGCUCGCCCAUUGGCCGAGCCGCUCCCCCGGCUGCGCUUCACCUGCGCCGCCGAGUUGGCCGCACUUGGCGCGCCGGCCGCCGGCUGCCCGCCCCCGGCUCGGCUCGGCUCGGCUCGGCUCGGCGCCGCACAGCCCAGCCCAGCCCCGCCGGCAUCCCGGCCCGGUCCGAAGAGCUGGCGCUGCCCCCCCCGGCUGCACAGGGUUAACCGGCUUCAGCCCUCGGCCGCCCGGACCCGGAGGACGGAGGAUAACAAUCCCGAGCCGUGUGUGUGUGCGCGCCCGGCAGUUCUGCAUUGCAACGCGUGUAGUGGAGAAGCACCAGAACCCCCCUGGAACCGGGAUAAAAAAAAAAAAAAUCCACCAUUUACCUGGGGUCUCUGGCUUUUUUUUCUUCUUCUUGUUCUUCUUUUUUUCCGCGCUCAGUAG
rnacentral:lncRNA from 1 species